AGAACUGAUAGUUUGAUAGGUGGAAUGAUGGGGUAACGCCCUGAAACGCCUACCCUUGAUGGGCGUGCAUCGGCUGUAAUGGCUGGUGUACGAAGCCCCAUGACAACGGCUGAGAGCAACCGUAGUCACUGCAUAGCAGUGGCCGAAAGCAGUCUGGAGGCAGAUUGUGUUGCCUAUAGGCCAAGGGUCUAUAAA
rnacentral:ncRNA from 1 species